AACGAACGCUGGCGGCAGGCCUAACACAUGCAAGUCGAGCGAGAUCUUCGGAUCUAGCGGCGGACGGGUGAGUAACGCGUGGGAAUAUGCCCUUUGGUACGGAAUAGCCUCGGGAAACUGAGAGUAAUACCGUAUGUGCCCUUCGGGGGAAAGAUUUAUCGCCAAAGGAUUAGCCCGCGUUGGAUUUGGUAGUUGGUGGGGUAAUGGCCUACCAAGCCUACGAUCCAUAGCUGGUUUGAGAGGAUGAUCAGCCACACUGGGACUGAGACACGGCCCAGACUCCUACGGGAGGCAGCAGUGGGGAAUCUUAGACAAUGGGGGAAAGCCUGAUCCAGCCAUGCCGCGUGAGUGAUGAAGGCCUUAGGGUUGUAAAGCUCUUUCAGUGGGGAAGAUAAUGACGGUACCCACAGAAGAAGCCCCGGCUAACUUCGUGCCAGCCGCCGCCGUAA
rnacentral:rRNA from 1 species